rnacentral:rRNA from 1 species
CCUUGACAUCCAGAGAACUUAGCAGAGAUGCUUUGGUGCCUUCGGGAACUCUGAGACAGGUGCUGCAUGGCUGUCGUCAGCUCGUGUUGUGAAAUGUUGGGUUAAGUCCGCAACGAGCGCAACCCUUAUCCUUUGUUGCCAGCGGUUCGGCCGGGAACUCAAAGGAGACUGCCGGUGAUAAACCGGAGGAAGGUGGGGAUGACGUCAAGUCAUCAUGGCCCUUACGGCCAGGGCUACACACGUGCUACAAUGGCGCAUACAAAGAGAAGCGACCUCGCGAGAGCAAGCGGACCUCAUAAAGUGCGUCGUAGUCCGGAUUGGAGUCUGCAACUCGACUCCAUGAAGUCGGAAUCGCUAGUAAUCGUAGAUCAGAAUGCUACGGUGAAUACGUUCCCGGGCCUUGUACACACCGCCCGUCACACCAUGGGAGUGGGUUGCAAAAGAAGUAGGUAGCUUAACCUUCGGGAGGGCGCUUACCACUUUGUGAUUCAUGACUGGGGUGAAGUCGUAACAAGGUAAGCGUACGUGU